ACACAGCACUGUACUCGAUGCUAAGUUAUAACCAUUAAUUUGAUGCCCGGAAAUCACUAUCUCUUUAGCGGAGAAUUUCGACAAAAAUUCCUUCCCAUGAUUCUGUCCUCUCUCUCUCUCUCUCCCCUCUACAGUGCACACCCACAUCUAUAAACUAAAGUUCAAAAGAUUUUCCUAAGAGCCAAACACAGACCACUAGAUACAGAUUCCUGAAUUUUCGUACUCCCAUUCUUCCACUUUCUUGAUCUCACAGAUCAUAAUCUCUUUUUCAAGCAAACCAACUUCAAGGUCCGCCAGAGUCCAAACUUUACCAUGCAGUUCUCGCCAACUCUUCUCAUCCAAACCAGUUAAAUAAAUAUAUAUCAGAUAACCUUACCAUUUUUGGAUCAAAAUGGGAUCUGCGACAUCUUCGAUGGCUGCAAAAUUCGCAUUCUUUCCACCGGACCCGCCAUCUUAUAGCAUUUAUGUCGAUGUGUCCACUGGGAAAACGAGGAUGUCCGAUGUUAUUCAUCAGAGGGAGGACGUGGACGUGUUGAAGCUGAGCACCAAGAGAGGAAAUGAGAUCGUUGCUAUGUACGUAAAGAACCCGUCUGCAUCUAUGACUGUACUUUACUCUCAUGGCAAUGCUGCUGAUCUUGGCCAGAUGUAUCACAUUUUCACCGAGCUUAGCCUUCACCUAGGCGCUAAUCUGAUGGGGUACGACUAUUCUGGAUAUGGACAGUCGUCUGGAAAGGCAAGUGAGCAGGACACAUAUGCGGACGUAGAGGCUGCUUAUAAAUGCCUUGAAGAGACCUAUGGAGCGAAGGAGGAAGACAUAAUAUUGUACGGCCAAUCGGUUGGAAGUGGUCCAACUCUGGACUUGGCUGUCCGUUUGCCUCGAUUGAGAGCUGUGAUUCUUCACAGUCCGAUCCUGUCUGGCCUGCGUGUCAUGUACCCAGUUAAGCGAACAUUCUGGUUUGACAUAUACAAGAACAUUGAUAAGAUUCCACUAGUCAAUUGCCCCGUUCUGGUAAUUCAUGGAACUGAAGAUGAAGUAGUGGAUUUCUCUCAUGGUAAGCAGCUCUGGGAGCUUUGCAAGGAGAAGUAUGAACCUUUGUGGCUUAAAGGAGGAAACCACUGCAACUUGGAACUCUAUCCAGAGUACUUAAAGCAUCUCAGGAAAUUCAUAACAGCGGUGGAGAAAUUACCUCGUCUCCAACUCGAGUCUGGAGAAAUUUCAGAACAAUCAGAGAACUCAUCGAGUGCCACGGAACAGAAGUCCAGAGAAAGCACAGACUAUAGAGAGAAGUCUAGGCCUAGUAUUGGGCAGAGAGAAAAAUCAAGGCUGAGCACAGACAAUAGGGAAAAAUCAAGAACCAGCACAGACAAGAGGGAGAAGUCAAGAAGAAGCAUGGAUCGGUCUGGAAAGGCGAGGAACAGCACAGAUCAGUCGGAGAGAGCAAGGAAUAGCUUCGACCGCUUGGGAGACAUGGUGAGAUCAGUUGGAUUAUGCAAUGUUGAUUGUUUGAAGCAGACGGCUUUGGAGGCCUGAGGUCAAAGGAUUCAAUUCUACUGAUUGUUGCUUUGUAAAUUCUGUUACAGUUAAAUGUUUGGUUGACUGGUUCAGAAGUUCAACUGAUUAUCAUAUGUAAAAGAAACAGGAAAUGAAGCUGAUAUAGUGUAUGCUGAAAUGGCAGCAUCCAGGCCUUACAAUUCCACGCAAAUGGCUCCAAAACACUGGCCUCAAGGCCCUCCACCCUCUUGCCGUUUCUAGAACCCUCU